GACGAACGCUGGCGGCGUGCUUAACACAUGCAAGUCGAACGGAAAGGCCCUGCUUUUGUGGGGUGCUCGAGUGGCGAACGGGUGAGUAACACGUGAGUAACCUGCCCUUGACUUUGGGAUAACUUCAGGAAACUGGGGCUAAUACCGGAUAGGAGCUCCUGCUGCAUGGUGGGGGUUGGAAAGUUUCGGCGGUUGGGGAUGGACUCGCGGCUUAUCAGCUUGUUGGUGGGGUAGUGGCUUUCCAAGGCUUUGACGGGUAGCCGGCCUGAGAGGGAGACCGGCCACAUUGGGACUGAGAUACGGCCCAGACUCCUACGGGAGGCAGCAGUGGGGAAUAUUGCACAAUGGGCGGAAGCCUGAUGCAGCAACGCCGCGUGCGGGAUGACGGCCUUCGGGUUGUAAACCGCUUUCGCCUGUGACGAAGCGUGAGUGACGGUAAUGGGUAAAGAAGCACCGGCUAACUACGUG
rnacentral:rRNA from 1 species